rnacentral:rRNA from 1 species
GACGAACGCUGGCGGCGUGCUUAACACAUGCAAGUCGAACGGAAAGGCCCUGCUUUUGUGGGGUGCUCGAGUGGCGAACGGGUGAGUAACACGUGAGUAACCUGCCCUUGACUUUGGGAUAACUUCAGGAAACUGGGGCUAAUACCGGAUAGGAGCUCCUGCUGCAUGGUGGGGGUUGGAAAGUUUCGGCGGUUGGGGAUGGACUCGCGGCUUAUCAGCUUGUUGGUGGGGUAGUGGCUUACCAAGGCUUUGACGGGUAGCCGGCCUGCGAGGGUGACCGGCAACAUUGGGACUGAGAUACGGCCCAGACUCCUACGGGGGGCAGCAGUGGGGAAUAUUGCACAAUGGGCGGAAGCCUGAUGCAGCAACGCCGCGUGCGGGAUGACGGCCUUCGGGUUGUAAACCGCUUUCGCCUGUGACGAAGCGUGAGUGACGGUAAUGGGUAAAGAAGCACCGGCUAACUACGUG